rnacentral:rRNA from 1 species
GACGAAGGAUGCAAGCGUUAUCCGGAUUCAUUGGGUUUAAAGGGUGCGUAGGCGGCCUGCUAAGUCAGUGGUGAAAUCUUCUCGCUUAACGAGAAAACUGCCAUUGAUACUGGUGGGCUUGAGUACAGAUGCUGUGGGCGGAAUAUGACAUGUAGUGGUGAAAUACAUAGAGAUGUCAUAGAACACCGAUUGCGAAGGCAGCUCACAAAACUGUAACUGACGCUGAGGCACGAAAGUGCGGGGAGCAAACAGG